rnacentral:rRNA from 1 species
AGCGAACGCUGGCGGCAGGCCUAACACAUGCAAGUCGAACGGACCCUUCGGGGUUAGUGGCGGACGGGUGAGUAACACGUGGGAACGUGCCUUUAGGUUCGGAAUAGCUCCUGGAAACGGGUGGUAAUGCCGAAUGUGCCCUUCGGGGGAAAGAUUUAUCGCCUUUAGAGCGGCCCGCGUCAGAUUAGCUAGUUGGUGAGGUAAUGGCUCACCAAGGCGACGAGCAGUAGCUGGUCUGGGAGGAUGACCAGCCACACUGGGACUGAGACACGGCCCAGACUCCUACGGGAGGCAGCAGUGGGGAAGCUUGCGCAAUGGGCGAAAGCCUGACGCAGCCAUGCCGCGUGAAUGAUGAAGGUCUUAGGAUUGUAAAAUUCUUUCACCGGGGACGAUAAUGACGGUACCCGGAGAAGAAGCCCCGGCUAACUUCGUGCCAGCCGCCGCCGUAA